rnacentral:lncRNA from 1 species
UUUUCUUAGUUUUUGGAAUAGAGAUGGGAGUCUUUUCAGUCAGGGUGGCUAAUGGCAGUGGCGAAAGUCGAGAAGGCCUUCCUGUAUCUUUCUCUGAUGUUGGUAUGUUACUCUGCCUUCUCCCCUCUGUCCCGAUUAAGCCUACUUGAUAGUGAAAUUUUGUAUCUUCCUCUAGCUCCUGGUCUUCAAUAGCAUUAAAUUUAUCUCCUUGUCAUGAACUUUCAAGGUUAACAUGCCUUGCUCCAUGUCGAGAUUGCAU